GACGAACGCUGGCGGCGCGCUUAACACAUGCAAGUCGAACGGAAAGGCCUGCUUUCCCUUGUGGAUUGCGGGUACUCGAGUGGCGAACGGGUGAGUAACACGUGAGUGAUCUGCCCCCAACUUGGGUAUAAGCCUGGGAAACUGGGUCUAAUUCCCGAUAGGACUGCAGGGUGGUGCCUGUGGUGGAAAACGAUUUUCUAGUGGUUGGGGAUGAGCUCGCGGCCUAUCAGCUUGUUGGUGGGGUAAUGGCCUACCAAGGCGGCGACGGGUAGCCGGCCUGAGAGGGUGGACGGCCACAUUGGGACUGCGAUACGGCCCAGACUCCUACGGGAGGCAGCAGUGGGGAAGAUUGCACAAUGGGCGGAAGCCUGAUGCAGCGACGCCGCGUGGGGGAUGACGGCCUUCGGGUUGUAAACUCCUUUCGACCGCGAGGAAGCCACCUGGUUGGGAGGGUGGUGACGGUAGUGGUAGAAGAAGCACCGGCUAACUACGUG
rnacentral:rRNA from 1 species